rnacentral:snRNA from 1 species
AUACUUACCUGGCAGGAGAGCUACCAUGAUCAUGAAGGUGGUUUCCCAGGGCGAGGCUAAUCCAUGGCACUCCAGAUGUGCUGACACCUAUGAUUUCCCCAAGUGUUGGAAACAUGGCGGCAUAAUUUGUGGUAGUAGGGAAUUGCAUUCACAUUCUCUC